ACACCAACAAGAAAGAGCGCACUUGACGAUGAAUGAAAUUAAAUAUGCUGUGUUUUCCGCCAACUCGCAACCCGGGGUGUCGAAAUACAAUUGGGUAAACUGGAAGUGGGCGGGUUUCAGAAACCUAAACAAAUACAGACUUUCCACCCGGAACGCACAUUUUCAAAGGAGAAUAACUGACUCUAGCAUUGUUUUGGUGUUUUUGGUAUUUUUAUGCUUUAGUAGAGGUACAAAUGCAAAAAGGUACAUAUUUUUAACUUAUUUACCCCUAAAUGAUACAUUGAAGUAAAAUACAUAUUACAUACAUAUAAUUACGUACAUAACUGUAAAAUGUUAUGCUCUUAUUACAGGAAAAUCCAUAUUUCCAUGAUUUGCCCUCUUGUAAGUGAUCAGGGUCCCUAAACCUCUGAUCACCUCACCAUGGACCCUCACCUCCAAAUGGAGCUUAAUAUUAGGAGAUGGAGGGAGGAAGAGAUGAGAGGUUUGUCAGACUAUGACUCGGUGUGCAUGAACGGACAGACCGCUGAUAUAGUCAUCUGCUUCCAAUGUAGAGAAGAGCAGAGGGAGCCAUCCAUCGCUGGGCACGUGGACCCAACCUUGAAAAGUGUAGAGGGAGAUUGAACUGUGUGGUCUUCACUGCACUUCUCCCUUAACAAGCUCAAACUGGACUCGAGGGGGAGACGUAAACCAUCAAGUCUGGAUCUGGCACAGAGCAAAAAGUGAUAUCAAAGAGCAAGGCAAGUGCAAGAACUCUUUCCCUCUCUCUGUCAGAGUACCUCAGCCAUAUGAGGCACAUUAGAGUAAUUGAGGAGCAAUGGACCCGG